rnacentral:rRNA from 1 species
AACUUGUCUCAGUUCGGAUUGUAGGCUGAAACUCGCCUACAUGAAGCUGGAGUUGCUAGUAAUCGCGAAUCAGCAUGUCGCGGUGAAUACGUUCCCGGGCCUUGUACACACCGCCCGUCACACCAUGAGAGUUGGCAAUACCCAACGUACGUGAUCUAACCCGCAAGGGAGGAAGCGUCCUAAGGUAGGGUCAGCGAUUGGGGUGAAGUCGUAACAAGGUAAC